CCUACGGGUUGCAGCAGUAGGGAAUCUUCCGCAAUGGACGAAAGUCUGACGGAGCAACGCCGCGUGAGUGAUGAAGGCUUUCGGGUCGUAAAACUCUGUUGUUAGGGAAGAACAAGUGCUAGUUGAAUAAGCUGGCACCUUGACGGUACCUAACCAGAAAGCCACGGCUAACUACGUGCCAGCAGCCGCGGUAAUACGUAGGUGGCAAGCGUUAUCCGGAAUUAUUGGGCGUAAAGCGCGCGCAGGUGGUUUCUUAAGUCUGAUGUGAAAGCCCACGGCUCAACCGUGGAGGGUCAUUGGAAACUGGGAGACUUGAGUGCAGAAGAGGAAAGUGGAAUUCCAUGUGUAGCGGUGAAAUGCGUAGAGAUAUGGAGGAACACCAGUGGCGAAGGCGACUUUCUGGUCUGUAACUGACACUGAGGCGCGAAAGCGUGGGGAGCAAACAGGAUUAGAUACCCUAGUAGUC
rnacentral:rRNA from 1 species